UAAGUGUCACCUGUACUUUCUUGUAGGGAAAAGCAUCAACAACGAGGCAGCAGGGGGACAGUGACACCAGGCCUAGAGUGCAGGAAAGUCUUGGUGUUGCCAUGGAGGCAUGUCCAGGGCUACGGACUGUGUCCCAGCUGCAGAGCCAUGCCGAUGUCUGUCCUGCAUCUUCUGAGGACCCUCUGUAGGUGAAGACAGAUUACAGAGGAAGAAGCAGGAGAAAUGAGGUGCCCUCCCCUAGACGGCUCAUCACAAACCCUGUCUCCACAUCUUCCUUUUGUGUUCAAACUGUGUUCAUGGUGGCUUCUUUCUUCAUGUCUCUCAGGGGAGCAGGACACAACCUUCAGAUACAGGAGAAGUGCGGCCUGAUAUGUGACUUCAAUCAAAAUGAUUGAUCUCCUCAAACCCUGAAAAUAUUUCUGUUACUUCUGGAAUUUAUUGUUCGAAUAAAUGAUAUAUUUAAUGCAA